AGUGAACGCUGGCGGUAGGCCUAACACAUGCAAGUCGAACGGCAGCACAGUACUAGCUUGCUCUUACGGGUGGCGAGUGGCGGACGGGUGAGGAAUACAUCGGAAUCUACUUUUUCGUGGGGGCUAACGUAGGGAAACUUACGCUAAUACCGCAUACGACCUACGGUGAAAGCAGGGGAUCUUCGGACCUUGCGCGAUUCAAUGAGCCGAUGUCGGAUUAGCUAGUUGGCGGGGUAAAGGACCACCAAGGCGACGAUCCGUAGCUGGUCUGAGAGGAUGAUCAGCCACACUGGAACUGAGACACGGUCCAGACUCCUACGGGAGGCAGCAGUGGGGAAUAUUGGACAAUGGGCGAAAGCCUGAUCCAGCCAUACCGCGUGAGUGAAGAAGGCCUUCGGGUUGUAAAGCCCUUUUAUUGGGAAAGAAAAGCAGCAGGUUAAUACCUCGCUGUUUUGACGUUACCCAAAGAAUAAGCACCGGCUAACUUCGUG
rnacentral:rRNA from 1 species